CAGUCGCCGCGGGAAUACGUAGGUGGCAAGCGUUGUCCGGAUUUAUUGGGCGUAAAGCGAGCGCAGGCGGUUAGAUAAGUCUGAAGUUAAAGGCUGUGGCUUAACCAUAGUACGCUUUGGAAACUGUUUAACUUGAGUGCAGAAGGGGAGAGUGGAAUUCCAUGUGUAGCGGUGAAAUGCGUAGAUAUAUGGAGGAACACCGGUGGCGAAAGCGGCUCUCUGGUCUGUAACUGACGCUGAGGCUCGAAAGCGUGGGGAGCAAACAGGAUUAGAUACCCGGGUAGUCCCUGUCUCUUAUACA
rnacentral:rRNA from 1 species